rnacentral:rRNA from 1 species
CCUACGGGAGGCAGCAGUGAGGAAUAUUGGUCAAUGGACGAGAGUCUGAACCAGCCAAGUAGCGUGAAGGAUGACUGCCCUAUGGGUUGUAAACUUCUUUUAUAAAGGAAUAAAACGAGGCACGUGUGCCUUUUUGCAUGUACUUUAGGAAUAAGCCUCGGCUAACUACGUGCCAGCAGCCGCGGUAAUACGUAGGAGGCAAGCGUUAUCCGGAAUGACUGGGCGUAAAGGGUGCGUAGGUGGUUUGGCAAGUUAGUAGCGAAACUCCGGAGCUCAACUUCGGAACUACUACUGAAACUGUUAGACUUGAGUGCAGGAGAGGCAAGCGGAAUUCGUGGUGUAGCGGUGAAAUGCGUAGAUAUUACGAAGAACCCCAGUGGCGAAGGCAGAUUGCUAGACUGUAACUGACACUGAGGCACGAAAGCGUGGGGAGCAAACAGGAUUAGAUACCCUAGUAGUC